UACGAGGGGGGCGAGCGUUGUUCGGAAUUAUUGGGCGUAAAGGGUGCGUAGGCGGUUUGGUAAGUCUGAUGUGAAAUCUAUGGGCUCCAACUCAUAGUCUGCAUCGGAAACUGCCGGGCUUGAGUAGUGGGAGAGGUGAGUGGAAUUCCUGGUGUAGCGGUGAAAUGCGUAGAUAUCAGGAGGAACACCUGUGGCGAAAGCGGCUCACUGGACCAUAACUGACGCUGAUGCACGAAAGCGUAGGGGAGCAAACAGG
rnacentral:rRNA from 1 species